UCCGUAGGCGGGCAAUUAAGUCAGAAGUGAAAUCCCACAGCUCAACUGUGGAACUGCCUUUGAUACUGGUUGUCUUGAGUUAUAGUGAAGUAGAUAGAAUAUGUAGUGUAGCGGUGAAAUGCAUAGAUAUUACAUAGAAUACCGAUUGCGAAGGCAGUCUACUAACUGUAUACUGACGCUAAUGGACGAAAGCGUGGGGAGCGAACAGGAUUAGAUACCCUGGUAGUCC
rnacentral:rRNA from 1 species